rnacentral:rRNA from 1 species
ACUCAAAGGAAUAGACGGGGGCCCGCACAAGCGGUGGAGCAUGUGGUUUAAUUCGAUGCAACGCGAAGAACCUUACCUACUUUUGACAUCCUAGGGAGGCUGUAGAGAUAUGGCUGUGCCGAAAGGAACCUAGAGACAGGUGCUGCAUGGCUGUCGUCAGCUCGUGUUGUGAGAUGUUGGGUUAAGUCCCGUAACGAGCGCAACCCUUAUCCUUAGUUACCAACACGUCGAGGUGGGGACUCUAAGGAGACUGCUGGUGAUGAACCGGAGGAAGGCGGGGACGACGUCAAGUCAUCAUGGCCUUUAUGAGUAGGGCUACACACGUGCUACAAUGGGCAGUACAGAGGGAAGCGAAGCCGCGAGGUGAAGCCAAUCUCAGAAAGCUGUUCGUAGUCCGGAUCGGAGUCUGCAACUCGACUCCGUGAAGUCGGAAUCGCUAGUAAUCGCGAAUCAGCCUGUCGCGGUGAAUACGUUCCCGGGCCUUGUACACACCGCCCGU